rnacentral:rRNA from 1 species
UACGGGGGGUGCGAGCGUUGUCCGGAAUCACUGGGCGUAAAGGGCGCGUAGGUGGCUUUGUAAGUCCGCUGUGAAAGUCCAGGGCUCAACCCUGGGAUGCCGGUGGAUACUGUCGGUCUCGAGUCCGGAAGAGGAGUGUGGAAUUCCUGGUGUAGCGGUGAAAUGCGCAGAUAUCAGGAGGAACACCAAUGGCGAAGGCAGCACUCUGGGACGUGACUGACGCUGAGACGCGAAAGCGUGGGGAGCAAACAGG